CAUCGUUACCUUAGGGCUUGUCGAUUAGAUUUUUUUUUCCUGAUCGCUCUCGAUCCCUCUUCCUCUUCCUCUUCCGCUUCCGUUCAUCUGCAGUUAUGGUGUUCAUUAACACUCAACUGGGCACUUCCUCUGUGGACGAAACGAUUCGGUCUUCCGUAACGUUUCUCUAAUCCUUAUAUAUAGAGUUCUCGAGCUGUCUUCGCCGCCGUCGCCCCGUCUCCGUCGUGACCGCCGUCUCCGCAGACGCCGCUGUCUCCGCUGCCGCCGCCGUCCCAUACACCACCUUCGACUCACUCCGACUUGGCAGGACCGCCCAGUCUUUGGUUGGUAGACUCAUCCGAUUCUGGAAUGCUAAGGAUAUCGAUAAGAACAUGGAACUUUUGGGAAUAACCCUUCUACUACUUGAUGAGAAGGUUCAAGAAUCGAAGGGUGAGGACGAACCAGUGGAGCGAUGCGGUGAUGGCAGAGGAGAAGGGGAUUCUGUUUCUAAUGGUGGACGCUCGCCACAGAUGUCUACUCGGCGGUGGAAAGAGGCAUCAUGUUGGGUAGCUUGAUGGAGGAUGGCUUAUCGUAUAAGGAUAAGUUCAUAGUCAGAUCCCACGAAGUGCAGUGUAGCAAAAUCGCUACGGUUCAAACCAUUGCCAGUCUUUUGAAAGCUUUUCCUGAGCAGGAAAAUAACAUAAGCUUGAAAAAAUCUCCAAACUUGAAGAUCUGGCCGAGUACUCAAUCAUUGGACUUAAGCCAAGACGAGCUGAUCUCGACAUGAACCAUCAUGUCAAUAAUGUCACCUAUAUUUGAUGGCUUCUUGAGGAAUGUGACUGUCUACUUAUCUUUAUGGGAAGGGGUCUCUUGAAAGACGGGGAUAAAUCCAAGUCUGUUGGGUUACCAUAGUUAACCUAAAAUCUUUGGAGGGGAUCUGUAUUUAAACUCCACACCGGGGACUAGGUUCUUCUUUGAUACUGACCUCCCUGAGGUUAAAGAGUUUGUCAGCAGUUUGGGAGGUCCAUUAUCUCAAGUGUUUCCCUGUGUCGACACUUUAGAAGGAAUUAAGAAGAAGGAACUUUUCUCAAUCGAAGAUCCGAACACCUUCAUCAACAAGUCCAAUGAGCAGGUUGUUGUAUGACUUUAUCCACAUUUGUCUCUAUAUGGUACCAUUAGUAUUUUUCAAUGGCUAAAUAUUUGUAUAAGCAGACCCAUGAAGCUGAUUUCCUCUGCAAAGCCCGGAUUAUUGAUGUACUCCAGCACUAUGGGUGGUUCUUUGUGUUAUCUGGGAGUUAAUAAUAAUAAUAAUAAUGUGAAGCUUAUACAGGGCAGUACCAUCUUCACGCUCAUUCCCUUGAGCAUCAACUGGAGCUGGUUCCAAAAUGUUCAUAGAGUUUGCAAUGACAUCCUCCAUGUGAGAUAUGUGCAGCAUGCGCAUGUUACUGUUCUUAUCCUCUACCCAAGGCACAUGUAGCUUUUUCUGUGCUACUGUAUUUGGAUCUAAAUAAGAAAGAAAAGAACUCCGGGAGCUAAGAAAAGAAACAAUGAAGAAAGAAAAGUUCCGACUGGAUCCGACCUCCAUCAUCACCACACUCCUUUAACAUCCCCACAAGAUCAGUUGCUUUUACAUCUCCAUAAGAUUAGUUGCUUUUACAUCUUUUAUUUCUCAUAACUCAUGUUAGUUUGUAACAACUUUUAACAUUCCAGUUUUUGGGUUUGUUUAUCCAAAUGUUAAUUUAAAUUCAUGUUGAAAAAUGAGUUAACUUUGGUAGUCUAUAACAUCCACGUUGAAGAUUGUAUCAAACGUUUUGUCAUCUCCGUAGAUAUAUUGU